rnacentral:snRNA from 1 species
GUGCUAUACAUGUCUACAAACGCAACAAUUGGAACGAUACAGAGAAGAUUAGCAUGGCCCCUGCGCAAGGAUGACCCGCACAAAUCGAGAAGUGAGCCAAAAUAUG